GGUCAAGCUACUAAGGGCGUACGGUGGAUGCCUUGGCGCGGAGAAGCGAUGAAGGACGCAGCAGGCUGCGAUAAGCCCCGGUGAGCCGCGAGCGGGCUUUGACCCGGGGAUUUCCGAAUGGGGAAACCCGGCCAGGUUCAUGCCUGGUCACUCCCUCCUGAAUCCAUAGGGAGGGCAGAGCGAACGGGGGGAAUUGAACCAUCUCAGUACCCCCAGGAAGAGAAAGCAACCGCGAUUCCCUGAGUAGUGGCGAGCGAAAGGGGAACAGCCUAAACCGGCGGCGUGCCAAGUCCGUGAGCAUUGCGUUGCCGGUGUCGUGGGAUCGAGCCGGACUCCGUCACGGCGGGGUCGGGAAGUCAGAAACCGAGAAGCUAGCUGAACGGUCUGGAACGGCCGGCCAUAGGAGGUAAAAGCCCUGUAGGCGAAAGCUUCGAGGCUUCCUGGGCUCGCGUCCCGAGUACCACGGGGCACGAGAAACCCUGUGGGAAUCUGGGAGGACCAUCUUCCAAGGCUAAACAUUCCUCCGCGACCGAUAGUGAACUAGUACCGUGAGGGAAAGGCGAAAAGAACCCCUGCUAGGGGAGUGAAAUAGAACCUGAAACCGUAUGCCUACAAGCAGUGGGAGGGCUAUGGCCUUCGGGCAAGGCCUGACCGCGUGCCUUUUGCAUAAUGAGCCGGCUAGUUACUCUCGGCGGCAAGGUUAAGCGAUAAGCCAGCCGAAGCGAAAGCGAGUCCUAAUAGGGCGUCGAGUCGCCGGGAGUAAACGCGAAGCUGAGUGAUCUACCCUUGGCCAGGGUGAAGCGUGGGUAACACCACGUGGAGGCCCGAACCAGUGUGGGUUGAAAACCGCUUGGAUGAGCUGAGGGUAGGGGUGAAAGGCCAAUCAAACUCAGAUAUAGCUCGUUCUCCCCGAAAUAGCUUUAGGGCUAGCCUCACGCGUUCCUUUUCGGUGGUAGAGCACUCUUUGGACUAGGGGGUGUGACAACCUACCGAAUCCAUGGAAACUCCGAAUGCCGAAAAGCUCAGCGUGGGAGUCAGACAGUGACGGAUAAGCGCCAUUGUCGAGAGGGGAACAACCCAGACCGCCAGCUAAGGUCCCGAAAUCCAGGCUAAGUGGUAAAGGAUGUGGGGUUGCGCUGACAGCUAGGAGGUUGGCUUAGAAGCAGCCAUCCUUCAAAGAAAGCGUAACAGCUCACUAGUCGAGCGACCCUGUGCCGAUAAUGUAACGGGGCUCAAGCCUGGUACCGAAGCUGCGGAUUCGAACUUCGGUUCGAAUGGUAGGGGAGCGUUCCGUGAGAGAUACACGUCGGACCGGCAAGGACCGAUAGCGGCUCACGGAAGAGACUCUGCCGGCACAAGUAGCGAUAAACGGUGUGAGAAUCGCCGUCGCCGAAAGUCUAAGGUUUCCUGAGGAAGGUUCGUCCUCUCAGGGUGAGUCGGAACCUAAGGUGAGGCCGAAAGGCGUAGCCGAUGGGCAGCAGGUCAACAUUCCUGCACCGCUUUGACGAGCGAUGGGGUGACGCAGGAGGCUAGGCGAACCGGGCCAGUGGUCGAGCCCGGCCCCGAGUGUAGGGGGGUUCCCCAGGCAAAUCCGGGGAACCGCUAACCCUGAGGCAAGGGGGGAAGUGCGGCCUUGUGCCAAACGAACUCGCUGAAGCCACGCUGCCAGGAAAAACCUCUAGCGUUAAUCGUCAGGGCGUCCGUACCGCAAACCGACACUGGUAGACGGGGAGAGAAUCCUCAGGCGCGUGAGUGAACUCUCGCUAAGGAACUCGGCAAGUUAGCCCCGUAACUUCGGGAUAAGGGGUGCCCCGCCAGGGUGAGGAGACUUGCUCUCCAGGCCCGAGGGGGCCGCAGUGAAAGGGCCCAGGCGACUGUUUAACAAAAACACAGCACUCUGCUAAGUCGAAAACGACGUAUAGGGUGUGACGCCUGCCCGGUGCCGGAAGGUUAAGAGGAGGGGUCAGCCGCAAGGCGAAGCUCCGAAUCGAAGCCCCGGUAAACGGCGGCCGUAACUAUAACGGUCCUAAGGUAGCGAAAUUCCUUGUCGGGUAAGUUCCGACCUGCACGAAUGGCGUAACGAUCUGGGCGCUGUCUCGGCGAGAGGCUCAGCGAAUCUGUAGCACCUGUGAAGAUGCAGGUUACCCGCGACUAGACGGAAAGACCCUGUGAACCUUUACUGCACCCUGGCAGUGGAAUUCGGUGCGACAUGUGCAGGAUAGGUGGGAGGCGUUGAAGCUAGGCCGUCAGGCCUGGUGGAGCCAACGGUGAGAUACCACCCUUGUCGCUCUGAGUUUCUAACCUAGGGCCCUGAAUCGGGCCCAGGGACAUUGUCAGGCGGGUAGUUUGACUGGGGCGGUCGCCUCCCAAAAUGUAACGGAGGCGUGCGAAGGUUCCCUCAGGCUGUUUGGAAAUCAGCCGUAGAGUGCAAAGGCAUAAGGGAGCCUGACUGCGAGACCUACAAGUCGAGCAGACGCGAAAGCGGGCCUUAGUGAUCCGGCGGUCCCGCAUGGAAGGGCCGUCGCUCAACGGAUAAAAGGUACUCCGGGGAUAACAGGCUGAUCCCGCCCAAGAGUCCACAUCGACGGCGGGGUUUGGCACCUCGAUGUCGGCUCAUCGCAUCCUGGGGCUGAAGCAGGUCCCAAGGGUUCGUCUGUUCGCCGAUUAAAGCGGUACGUGAGCUGGGUUCAGAACGUCGCGAGACAGUUCGGUCCCUAUCUGUCGUGGGCGCAGGAAACUUGAAGGGAUGGCUCCCUAGUACGAGAGGACCGGGAGCCACGGACCUCUAGUGUACCGGUUGUCCCGCCAGGGGCAGCGCCGGCUAGCUAUGUCCGGAAAGGAUAAGCGCUGAAUGCAUAUAAGCGCGAAGCCCCCCCUGAGAUGAGGUUUCCCGGACCGCAAGGUCCCUGAAGACCCCUCGUAGACGACGAGGUUGAUAGGCCGGAGGUGUAAGCGGGGAGACCCGUUGAGCCCACCGGUACUAAUCGGUCGAGAGGCUUGACCUU
rnacentral:rRNA from 1 species